rnacentral:lncRNA from 1 species
UCGUAUUAGGUAAGUUCUAUUAGGAUCCGGUGCCACCGUGCGCCAUGAUUUCAGAUUGGCCUGCCUACUACCCCGAAUGGAUGUGCCACCCAGUCAGCCGAGUGAUGGCAGAAUAUGCUUUUGUAGAACUGCAUAUCUAUUUGUUAUGAAUCUAGAGUCUCAAAGCCAAUAAGUUACUAAAUCAUUGACUGGCUGUUUCCAUGUUUGUAUUAUGCGCUUCUCACUCGGCGAGGGGAGCAUUAGGCCUCCUAUGGUCUGGAUUUCUCCAAAUGAUUAGGCUUUGCGAAAAUUGUGUACGCAUGUCUUACAGCCUAGGUAUUGCUCUUCUAGAUAUACUCUAUUGUUUCUGUUCGCUUAAUUCUAAUGAGUAUCUAAACUUCUUCAGGCAUAUUGGACUUUUGAAUCUAUGUAGCCAGCUCUUUGGAAUUUAUGUAGACAAGUAUUUUUGGUAAUGAUAUGUAUUUGCAAGCUUACUUCUCAGUUUUUUCUAUUGUUGGGUAUAUAUAGAUAAUUUCGUUGGGUAUCUACAAAGUACAUAUAGAUAAUUUUCGACCAUUUGUGACUGAAAGAUUUUUGCCAUAAGAAAAUUAACUCUGUCGAGCAGUGCUCGUUGUCAAGGAAAUGACGGGAUAUUGCUGAGCCUUAUUGACUGGAAGAGGAAUGCUAAUCCUACAAAUAGAUCUAUAAUGAAUUAGACUUGAGAACAAUCAACAAAUAAUAAACAGUCCCAAAUUUGUAGAUGUUGUUUGAUUCAAAUACCGAUUUAAGCAUUUGGCGCAUCUAAAAUUCAUCAAAAAGGAUGCGUGAUUUUCUGCCUAAUCACUUAGUGUAUUGUUUGGUAAUCAGGUUAUCCUGGACCUUUUUGGGGACAACAUCACCAAGUUUUCUUCUUAAUGCACUGUAAGUUAAAAAAAGUCAGUGACUAAUGACUCUUCUUAUCUCUCUGUUCACCCAUGUGCUUAGCUGCAAAAAUUCUAAAAAGAUGCGCCUAAUGACGGGUGGUGGAUGUGCGUCCUCUAGGGCCUCGUCGGCCAGAGAAGGAGGGGAGGAGCGGUUGCCGACGAGCGAGGUGGCUCUGUUUGGACCGGCCAUGGUGUUGGCUGUUGACUCCCACCGGUCUUGUCUCCCCCAACCCUUCCAUGGAGCUCGCUUAGCCACCGGCCGGCACAUCUUCUUCUCGCUCACAGCACCAAGGUAGGCAAAAUUCUUUCUUUUUCCCAUGAUGUGAUUUCUUUUGCUUGGAUGGAUUACAACUGGUUGGAGUAGCGGAUGUGUGAAGUUUUGCCUGUAAUCUAAAUUCUGUAUUUUAUCUAGCUAAGUUAAGCAAAAGCUUGUUCUUUUACACCGACUGAAGCAAAAUCAUUCUCUUGCGAGCGAGCGAAGGGAAACGAGCCAGCGUACCCCUCCCCCUCCUCCCAAACGAGCCCGUGUUCCCCUCCCCCUCCUCCCACCUCAAGAACCCUAGCCGCCGCCUCCUCCUCCCUCCCACCGCAACCGCCUCCCCACUCCCCUCUCGUCCGCCCCGGGUGCGGAGGCGAGCUUCCCGGCGACGGUGGCGCCGGCUCGAGGCGGGGGAGCGGCCGAUGCGGGGUCGGUUGGAUCGAGGCGUGGGAGCGGCGGAUGCGGCGGCGGCGGCACGAGAAGAGCAACGGCGGCGGCAUCGACCUAUGAAGAGGCGAGAGGAGCGGUGGUGGCGGCGUUGAGAUGUGAAGAGGCGCCGCUCGGGCGCGAGACCACGGAGGCGGGAGCGGCUGUUUCGGGCCCCGAUCCGAGAGGGUACGAGGCAGGGAAGGACGACAUCGUCGCCGUCACAGGUCUUCCUUCAGUCCCUUUCGUUCCCUCUCCGGUUCAUCCUCUUCCCAUCCCUCGUAUUAGGUAAGUUCUAUUAGGAUCCGGUGCCACCGUGCACCAUGAUUUCAGAUUGGUCUGCCUGCUACCCCGAAUGGAUGCGCCACCCAGUCAGCCGAGUGAUGGCAGAAUAUGCUUUUGUAGAACUGCAUAUCUAUUUGUUAUGAAUCUAGAGUCUCAAAGCCAAUAAGUUGCUAAAUCAUUGACUGGCUGUUUCCAUGUUUGUAUUAUGCGCUUCUCACUCUCACUCGGCGAGGGGAGCAUUAGGCCUCCUAUGGUCUGGAUUUCUCCAAAUGAUUAGGCUUUGCGAAAAUUGUGUACGCAUGUCUUACAGCCUAGGUAUUGCUCUUAUAGAUAUACUCUGUUGUUUUUGUUCACUUAAUUCUAAUGAGUAUUUAAACUUCUUCAAGCAUAUUGGACUUUUGAAUCUAUGUAGCCAGCUCUUUGGAAUUUAUCUAGACAAGUAUUUUUGGUAAUGAUAUGUAUUUGCAAGCUUACUUCUCAGUUUUAUCUAUUGUUGGGUACAUAUAGAUAAUUUCGUUGGGUAUCUACAAAGUACAUAUAGAUAAUUUUCGACCAUUUGUGACUGAAAGAUUUUUUCCAUAAGAAAAUUAACUCUGUCACAUAUAGAUAAUUUCGUUGGGUAUCUACAAAGUACAUAUAGAUAAUUUUCGACCAUUUGUGACUGAAAGAUUUUUGCCAUAAGAAAAUUAACUCUGUCGAGCAGUGCUCGUUGUCAAGGAAAUGACGGGAAAUUGCUGAGCCUUAUUGAUUGGAAGAGGAAUGCUAAUCCUACAAAUAGAUCUAUAAUGAAUUAGACUUGAGAACAAUCAACAAAUAAUAAACAGUCCCAAAUUUGUAGAUGUUGUUUGAUUCAAAUACCGAUUUAAGCAUUUGGCGCAUCUAAAAUUCAUCAAAAAGAUGCGUGAUUUUCUGCCUAAUCACUUAGUGUAUUGUUUGGUAAUCAGGUUAUCCUGGACCUCUUUGGGGACAACAUCACCAAGUUUUCUUCUUAAUGCACUGCAAGUUAAAAAAGUCAGUGACUAAUGACUCUUCUUAUCUCUCUGUUCACCCAUGUGCUUAGCUGCAAAAAUUCUAAAAAGAUGCGCCUAAUGACGGGUGGCGGAUGUGGGUCCUCUAGGGCCUCGUCGGCCAGAGAAGGAGGGGAGGAGCGAUUGCCGACGAGCGAGGUGGCUCUGUUUGGACCGGCCAUGGUGUUGGCUGUUGACUCCCACCGGUCUUGUCUCCCCCAACCCUUCCAUGGAGCUCGCUUAGCCACCGGCCGGCACAUCUUCUUCUCGCUCACAGCACCAAGGUAGGCAAAAUUCUUUCUUUUUCCCAUGAUGUGAUUUCUUUUGCUUGGAUGGAUUACAACUGGUUGGAGUAGCGGAUGUGUGAAGUUUUGCCUGUAAUCUAAAUUCUGUAUUUUAUCUAGCUAAGUUAAGCAAAUGCUUGUUCUUUUACAACGACUGAAGCAAAAUCAUUCUCUUGCGAGCGAGCGAAGGGAAACGAGCUAGCGUACCCCUCCCCCUCCUCCCAAACGAGCCCGUGUUCCCCUCCCCCUCCUCCCACCUCAAGAACCCUAGCCGCCGCCUCCUCCUCCCUCCCACCGCAGCCGCCUCCCCACUCCCCUCUCGUCCGCCCCGGGUGCGGAGGCGAGCUUCCCGGCGACGGUGGCGCCGGCUCGAGGCGGGGGAGCGGCCGAUGCGGGGUCGGUUGGAUCGAGGCGUGGGAGCGGCGGAUGCGGCGGCGGCGGCACGAGAAGAGCAACGGCGGCGGCAUCGACCUAUGAAGAGGCGAGAGGAGCGGUGGUGGCGGCGUCGAGAUGUGAAGAGGCGCCACUCGGGCACGAGACCACGGAGGCGGGAGCGGCUGCUUCGGGCCCCGAUCUGAGAGGGUACGAGGCUGGGAAGGACGGCAUCGUCGCCGCCACAGGUCUUCCUUCAGUCCCUUUCGUUCCCUCUCCGGUUCAUCCUCUUCCCAUCCCUCGUAUUAGGUAAGUUCUAUUAGGAUCCGGUGCCAGCGUGCACCAUGAUUUCAGAUUGGCCUGCCUGCUACCCCGAAUGGAUGCGCCACCCAGAUAGCCGAGUGAUGGCAGAAUAUGCUUUUGUAGAACUGCAUAUCUAUUGUUAUGAAUCUAGAGUCUCAAAGCCAAUAAGUUGCUAAAUCAUUGACUGGCUGUUUCCAUGUUUGUAUUAUGCGCUUCUCACUCGGCGAGGGUAGCAUUAGGCCUCCUAUGGUCUGGAUUUCUCCAAAUGAUUAGGCUUUGCGAAAAUUGUGUACGCAUGUCUUACAGCCUAGGUAUUGCUCUUCUAGAUAUACUCUAUUGUUUUUGUUCACUUAUUUCUAAUGAGUAUCUAAACUUCUUCAAGCAUAUUGGACUUUUGAAUCUAUGUAGUCAGCUCUUUGGAAUUUAUCUAAACAAGUAUUCUUGGUAAUGAUAUGUAUUUGCAAGCUUACUUCUCAGUUUUUCCUAUUGUUGGGUACAUAUAGAUAAUUUCGUUGGGUAUCUACAAAGUACAUAUAGAUAAUUUUCGACCAUUUGUGACUGAAAGAUUUUUGCCAUAAGAAAAUUAACUCUGUCGAGCAGUGCUCGUUGUCAAGGAAAUGACGGGAAAUUGCUGAGCCUUAUUGAUUGGAAGAGGAAUGCUAAUCCUACAAAUAGAUCUAUAAUGAAUUAGACUUGAGAACAAUCAACAAAUAAUAAACAGUCCCAAAUUUGUAGAUGUUGUUUGAUUCAAAUACCGAUUUAAGCAUUUGGCGCAUCUAAAAUUCAUCAAAAAGAUGCGUGAUUUUCUGCCUAAUCACUUAGUGUAUUGUUUGGUAAUCAGGUUAUCCUGGACCUCUUUGGGGACAACAUCACCAAGUUUUCUUCUUAAUGCACUGCAAGUUAAAAAAGUCAGUGACUAAUGACUCUUCUUAUCUCUCUGUUCACCCAUGUGCUUAGCUGCAAAAAUUCUAAAAAGAUGCGCCUAAUGACGGGUGGCGGAUGUGGGUCCUCUAGGGCCUCGUCGGCCAGAGAAGGAGGGGAGGAGCGAUUGCCGACGAGCGAGGUGGCUCUGUUUGGACCGGCCAUGGUGUUGGCUGUUGACUCCCACCGGUCUUGUCUCCCCCAACCCUUCCAUGGAGCUCGCUUAGCCACCGGCCGGCACAUCUUCUUCUCGCUCACAGCACCAAGGUAGGCAAAAUUCUUUCUUUUUCCCAUGAUGUGAUUUCUUUUGCUUGGAUGGAUUACAACUGGUUGGAGUAGCGGAUGUGUGAAGUUUUGCCUGUAAUCUAAAUUCUGUAUUUUAUCUAGCUAAGUUAAGCAAAAGCUUGUUCUUUUACAAGGACUGAAGCAAAAUCAUUCUCUUGCAGGCCAUGUAGCUUACAUUUUAACUGUUAUUGCUGAUUGGAGCCAUUGCUAUUGGCUAUUUAUACAUAAGAUGGAAGGUGAAUUGAGAUUUUUGUGAGGGGAUUGGAUUUUAUCCAGAUGGCUUGCUUCUCGUGAUGAGACUGAUACUAAUGAACUAAUGAAGACAUGAAGGUUGCAUCUUAUCCCCAUUUCCCUUUCUACAUUUACCAUUUAGUCGAUUAACAUACAUUGUACUAUUUCCCUUUCUACAGUUGCCAUUUAGUUGAUUAACAUAGAUUGUACUAUUUUCGAUUAAGCACACUAUGGGUCAAUGAAUGUGGAAUUAGCUACUUUUUAUAUCCCUGGACCAUAUAUAUUACAUGCAUCAGUACUUGAUGGGAAGAGGAUAUGCUUUUGCUUUUUAUUGUUACCCUUAAUUACUACUUUUCUAUGAACCCAAGGUUUAGGUUGCAGGCUCAACUGCAUAUCUAUAUUCUCUGUAUGAAUUUUUUAGCGAGCUUUGAAGUGAAUGUGGUGAUCAAGGCUCUAAUAUGUAUUCUUUAUUUGCAUGAAUGUUGUGUGCAUAUAGGUACUUGCAAUGGAAUCUUUUUCUCAUAGACGAGAAGUACUUUGAAAACAGAUUUUAAAAAUUGAUAUAAUUUUACAAGUGUGCAGAUAGCUGACAAGGCAACAAUGCUAUUGUUCAAAUGUAGUCGAGCCGGGCUUUUGGUGUUUUCGGUGCUAUUGUUCAAAUUUUGCUUUCUUAGAUUCAUUGCAACCAAAAGAUUUGGUAAUAUUUUUUUUCUGGAAACAUGGAUACACUUGUUGGUGUUGUAUACUGGGAUCUGUAAGUAUUGUCAUAGGAAUUUUUUUAUCCUAAGGAUUCACACAGAUUGGAGGGGAAUUAGUAUCUAACAUCUUGUUAAAUGUACACAAACUGGUAUAUCUUCAUGGCUUUUAAGCUAUAUAAUUGUAGAUGAUAAUUUAUGCUUUGAUAAAGUAAUAUCUUACUUCUCGGUGCUUGGAUAAAAUAGUAUAGUUUGCUGAAAAUAUGUUCAUACUUUAUAUCACAGAAGUACAAACUGACAAUCAGCCUAUGGUGAAGUUAAAAGAAGCAAAAGUAUUGUGUGUAUAAUCAUUAGAUUUGUUAAGGUGAAUCAGAUUUAUUUUUGCUGCUGCACGUAGAAUGUAGUUUAUUUUAAUUCCUGUUGCUGCGUUUGGCCCUACAUCUCGAUGGGUGUGGCCGCUCCCUUGUUAGUUUGUUGCUCGAUUUGGUUUGGUCCAAGGUAGGUCGUGUGUUGUCUACGUCUGUAUAUUCGUUGGCUGGAUAAGAAGAUUUUGCAGGUUUUUCUCUAGUUUGGUUGCUUCUGCUCUGAGUGUAGGUUCCUAUGAUUUCUAGACAGUGUAUUGGUUCUAAGGAUUGCUCGGUAGUUUAAAAGUGCUUUGAUUUCCUUCUUGUCUUCACGCACAGACCAUGAAGAUGGCUAGGUUUGCAUGGGCAUGGGGUUUGGUACACCUGGCCUCUAUUUAGAUUUGUUAAUAAAUUCAGUUUAUCACGAACACCAUAAAUGUGUUAUCAGUUUACUAUCUUGGGACAUGAGCUAUUUUUCAGUCAAUGCGUGCCGAGUCCAUUUGGAACUGAAUAUGUAGUGUUUUCUUUGAAACUGAGUAACUGUGGUUGAAAUUUAGUUUCAUUUAGACGAGCUACCCCAAGUAUCAUCAAUUCAUGAUGGCUAAUUUGUUUUGGUUCUUGAUGAAUCGGCCAUGGUCCUGAUUUAAGAGUUUUUAUGUUAUUUCUCCGCCUAUUUGAGCUAUUAUCGUUUCUAUUUAACACACACAAUUGUAGCUGCCCUUUUUGAUUCAGAAAAAUGGUCUUCAUGUCUCUGGUUUGGUUAAACAUUUUCUCAGCAUAUCUCUAUUCAUCAGUCUUAACUCGCAUAACAUCCAAUAUAGUUUGUCUGAUCCAGACUAAAUGUUGGUUGUUGCUAUGUUUUGUGUGCAGUCUAUUUCUCUUCUAUCUUGGUCAUUAAAGAUGUGUGACAAGAAAGAAAUUUCAAAAGGUUUGAUAAUCUAGAAUGCUCAUAUGGAGUUAUUUGAACCAGUUCUUUUAGUAGCUGCUGAGACCAGAUGUAUCAGAAAAAUUUAAAAGAUACCAACAGUAGGGUUGACCAAUAAUGCUGAAUUGAUUCAGUCUUCAGGCCUUAUGCACAAUUUCCACAAUGUUUAGAUAAUAUGCUUUAAUGCUCCUGUGCACUGCUUUAAUGCUUCUGCUUGUUUGUCUGAAUCUUGUUGUUCAUUAAUUUCUUGCCGCCUGCUGUUGCCCAUGAGGGGGAGUCGGAUCCAUCAUGGAUAACCAUCCCUGAUGAGCUUUUAAUACAUACUGAUGGUGACAAAAUUGAUGCCAUUGUUCAGGUUGUAUACAAAGAUGUUCCUACUAGGUAUUCUGACGUUGAUUAUCUAAAAGAAAGAGCAAUUCUAACACCAACGAACCAAGUAGCUGAAAAUUAUAAACGAGUGCGUUCUAUCUUUAGUGCCUACCAGUGAGAGAGUAACUAAGCUGUGUCAAGUGUCGAUGCCUAUGUUUUAUAUGCAAAUACCUUUCCUCUUUUGCACAAACCAUGCUUCCUGUACAAUGAUAUUUAAUAGCAGCAAACUAAACAGGUUGGUUAGGAAACUGAAGCUGCAGCUACUGAAGAGCCAAAGAACAUUCUUGUUGAACAGUCUAAAGCCAAGAGGUAAAGACUCAUAGUCUGUUACAUCCAACCAGUUCAACGUAAGAUAUGGCGUGCCGCCUCUUGUUCUUCCUUUACCUUGUCUUAUUUGACAACCAAAGCAUCGUUCUCUGUGGCUCUCAAAAAUGCUUUCUUCUUCACACGAUGCAUGUUAUGCCAUUUGAUCAAACUACUUUUCUGCCACAGCUAUAUUCAAAUGGAUCAUAGGCCCAAUAAAACAUCAUUUUACUUCAAAAUCUAAUAUACGUUUUAUUUAUUUUCCUGUUGCAUAUACAAGCAACUCUUCUUGUUGCAUCAAAAGUAACUUGCUUCGUACAUGCAAACUAAUUAGCCAUAUAGUUAAAUUAGCUACGUAUUAAGAUUCGGUACAUCUACUGCUUAUUUAUGUUGUGUUCUAUUUGCUGUGUCCAAUCUUUAUGCGCUUGUUAUUUUUAUCACACUGUAAUCAAGCUUCUGUUGUUAUAGCAAUAUGAAAUCCUAUGCAUCAAGCUUCUGUUCUUAUAGCAAUUACAGUUUUGAUACCUCUGUUUCUUUAUAUCAUCUUGUUGGGUUUCUGUUUCUCUUCAUAUAGGAUACAGAUAUGUGAUUCUCAUGUGGUCCUUUCGCUGGAAACUUGCUAAUCUUAGGGGUGCUGCUACUGGUGUAAAAACCGUUUUAUCAAAAGAACUAAAGUAGUAGCUAAUCCAAGCAUUGCAGAAUUGACGCAGAGGUUACGCUAUAUUGGCAUGAAGUCAGAGCAGCGCGUGAAGACUACAUAAGAUAGUUUCUGGUGACCUUCAGUCUAUAUGUCCUAACCAACAGCAGCCACCUUUUAUUUCGUAUCAAUCGAUCCAGUAUCUUUUCCCUUUUGGCGUCUCUGAGCAAGAUAUGUAUAGCCUUUAGAUUUCCGUUCGUGUAUGAUACUACAUGUACACUUUAGACCUCAUUACUGUCUCUGUGGUCAAAAGAAGUUUGUGAUCACUUGUUCUAUAUAUGUAAUCAACUGCCCUUCUACUAAUAUUUUCAGAAGACUAUUUAUGUAUGUUUACACUGGUUAGAGAAAAUCAUCACACUGCCAGCAGCAGUUUUUUAUUUCCAUAUGUUUCAAUUAAAUCUUCUGACCAAAUCAUUUGUCU